AUGCUUUGGCAGCAAAUAUGCUAAAAUUGGAAUGAUACAGAGAAGAUUUGCAUGGCCCAUG
rnacentral:snRNA from 1 species